rnacentral:lncRNA from 1 species
UUACAGAUAUACAUUAACACCACCUAGCACAAGGCAGCACAGAUCUCAGGAAACAAUGUUUGAAUAAUUCAUCAUUAAAGAAAAUGCAGUACAUCCAAACCAUGGAAUACUAUGCAGCCAUAAAAAAGAAUGAGAUCAUGUAUUUUGCAGGAACAUGGAUGGAGCUGGAGGCCAUUAUCCUUAGCAAACUAAUACAGAAACAGAAAAUCAAAUACUGCAUGUUCUUACUUAAGGUGGGAGCUAAAUGAUAAGAACUUAUGAACACAAAGAAGGAAACAACAGACACUGGGGUCUACUUGAGGAGGGAGGGCGGGAGGAGGGAGAUGAACAGUAAAGAUAACUAUUGGGUACUGGGCUUAAUACCUGGGUGAUUAAAUAAUAUGUACAAUAAACCUCCAUGACACACAUUUACCUGUGUAAUAAACCUUCA